GCAUGCUAUGCAUUGUCGCCGGAAGAGAAGCUGAAGGUAUGUAGUUUCUUGGUUGAUCUGAAGGUUCCUGAUGCCUUUUCCUCAAAUAUUUCAAGGUGUGUCAAUGUACAGGAAAAAAAGAUACAUGGAUUAAAAUGUCAUGAUCAUCAUGUAUUGUUGCAAGACAUUUUUCCAGUAGCUAUACGUGGUUUGCUACCCAAGGAAGUGUGUGAUCCAAUUAUAGCUUUAGGAAAAUUUUUCAAGAAUAUAUACUCUAAGUGCUUGACGAUUGAAGAUCUUGAUAUCCUAGAGGCAGAAAUUCCUAUUAUUUUGUGCAAACUUCAACUUGUUUUCCCUCCGGCAUUCUUUGAUGUCAUGGUUCAUUUGCCAAUUCACUUGUCAAGUGAGGCAAAGCUUGGUGGACAAGCUCAAUAUCGGAAUAUGUAUCCUAUAGAGAGGUAUUUGCGAACACUUAAGUCAUACGUUCGCAAUAAAAAUCGUCCAGAAGGUUCAAUUGCAGAAGGUUAUUUGGCAGAGGAAAGCCUCACAUUUUGCUCACGAUACUUGAAGAAUAUCUCAACCAAGUUUAAUAAACCAACUAGGAAUGAUGAUGGAUCUGUGUCAAAUGAUGAGAUGUCUAUCUUUAAAAAAAGUGGUCAAACAAAAGGUGUUUUAGAAGGCAUCAAGCUAUCUCAUGAUGAGUUUAAAUAAGCAUGUAUGUAUGUGCUUCAAAAUUGUGAAGAGGUUUCGCAUUUCAUGGAGGAAUAUACAAGAGAGAUUGAAAGCCAAAGUUCAAUGGGAGCUCAUAAAAAUGAGUUUCUUGAUUGGUUUCGCGCACGUAUAUUUGUACUAUCUUCACAAGGACGCGCAAAUGAUGAGCUCAUAAGCUUAGCCGUCGGUCCUGCACCAUUAGUACAUCGAUAUUCAAUAUUUAUGGUGAAUGGAUUUAGAUUUCAUACAAAAGAGCUUGCAUUGAGAAGAAAAAUGCAGAAUAGUGGUGUUCUUGUGAGAGAAGAUGAUUCAGACUCUAACGAGGAGUAUUAUGGUGUAUUAGAGGACAUUUAUGAGUUAUCUUAUGUGGAAAAUAGAAAAGUUUACUUAUUCAAGUGUCAUUGGUGGGAUGUAGCUCGCUUAGGAAGAGGAUAUAAGAUAGACAAAUACGGUUUCAUAAGUGUGAAUACUCGAUGUGCCUUGAAUACAAAUGAGCCAUUUGUGUUGGCAUCUCAGUCGGAGCAAGUCUUUUACUUGGACGACAUGGUCGAUAAGGAUUGGCUUAUUGUUGUGAAGACAAAUCCUCGUGACCUUUUUAAAGUGCCUGAUAAUGAUGAUAAUUGUGUAUAAAGUGAACAUGAAGAAUUAUUGAAUGAAGAAGUCUAUCAACAAGAGGAAGCUGAAUUUAAUACUUCGUGCACCGAUGACCAAGAAAAUAUUGUUGAGGUGUCUCUACAUAGGGAUAAUGUUGAACCACAAAGUAUUAACUAUGAUCAUGCAAGUACGCAAGCUCAAAACAAUGUGCAUAAUGAGGAAGAUGAUUUCAUUAAUGACAAUCAUAUAGAAAUAUCAGAGAGUGAAGAUAGCAAAGAAGAGUUAUUUGAUGAUGAUGAUGGGGAGGACACCGAUACAUCCUUUUGAAGACUAAGAAGCAAAAGACUAAUUAUAUAGAUGUUACAUCGUGUUUUGAAAAUUCUCUGUAUUUUUGUCCAUAUUAUUGUCCGUAUUAGACUAACAAUGAAAUUAGUUCUUGGUGCUUGAAGCUUUGUGUUGAUAUCUUAUUUUUGGAAGUUCUCUGUAUGUUUGUCCUUAUUAGACUUACGAUGAACUUAGUUCAUGAUGCUUGUAGCUUUAUGUCUACAUCUUAUUUUAAAAAGGUCUCUGAAAUUUUGUCCUAAUUAGAUUGAAUGAAAUUAAUUCGAAAUGAUUGAAGCUUUAAUUUUAUAACAGAAUCAGUGGUGAAGUAAAAUUAGUGGUUUACUCAAAUAUUUCAUCAAUUAAUUGAUUUUAAUUCUCUGUUAUUUGAAUUAAUAUUUUCUCUAGUCUAAUAAAUCAUUUUCUUUUUAUAUGAUGUUGCAGGAAAUGAAAGGAACUAGACGAGGAAAAAGUGGGAGAGGUGGGACGAGCUGUGGUCGUGGAAGUUUUCAAGGACGUGGCAAUUUUGGAGCGACGUCUCAGCCAUGCAUUCAGACUGGACGAGUAUCUGGUGCAUCUGUAGAGAUAGGACAACCAUGUAACCCGAGUCAAGGACCUUUACAAACCGGACGAGUAUCUAGUAACUCUCUCCCAAAAUCUUCUUUAGAAACACAAUCAUCACGAAAUGAACCAGAAACUGUGCAUCGCUCUCCAGAGGCUGACAAUUGUGCAAUUUCUUUCAGCAAUAAAAAAGAGGAAGAGGAAAGUACAAAUCUAAAAGUUUAGAUAUAAAAACUAAGUAUGGUGGCAAAAUCAAAAUUAUGAUUUCAGAUGACAUUGAUAGAGCAGUAGGUUCUGGGGCUAGAGAUAUUGUUAAGUACUGUGGUUUGAUCAUGAAAAGCACUAUCUCGUUCCAAGAUGGAAAUUGGCAAAAAAUAGUUUUGAAACACGGAGAAGCAAUGUGGUUAAAGGUCAAGGAUAAAUUUGAAGUUUGCAGCGGGCUGUAAGAGCAUAGGUUUCAAGCCUUUGUAAUUAGCACUAUGCAAAGGCUUUUUAGAGCAUGGAAAGCUCGACUAGGUAGGAUGUACUCUAAGUACAAUACUAAUGAAGAAAUAUUGUCUCAUCGACUUGAAGAUGUUGAGCUUGAGGACUGGAAAUACCUAAUACAAUAUUUUGAAAGUCAGGAUUUUAAGGUUGUAAGUAAGAGGAACAAAAGAAAUAGAGAAAAUCAAAUAACUAAGCAUACUUGUGGUACAAGGUCUUUUGCAGAAGUAGAGGAAUCUACGAGAAAUCCUAUUACCGAAGAAAUAGACACACCAGAUAAAGUUUGGGAGAUCCAACAUACACGCAAGGAUGAUAAAGGAGAACUGAUGGUCAACUUUAGGAAGUUGUCGCUCAGAAACAAUCUGAAGAGAUCGAGCAUCCCAUGACUAGAGAUGAGAUUUUAUCCACCAUUUUUGGUGAGAGAACAGGUUAUGUUCGCGGAAAAGGAUACGGAAAGAAGCCUCCUAAAAAGAGUAACACGCAGCAUGCAAACAUAGAGUCUAGCGUGUCUUUAGCUAUGAAAAUUGUGCGUCAAGAGAUGCAAGCCGAGAUGGAUAGGAAGUUGCAAGAAGAACGUGAACAAAUGGCCACUGAGUUGAAAAGAAAUAUGGAGCUUGAGUUGCAAAGGAAGUUGGCAGAGAAGCGUGAACACGCAAAUGCAGAAGUGCAAAGGAAGUUGGCAGAGGAGCGUGAACAUGCAAAUGUAGAAGUAGGAAAGAGGAUCCAUCUAGAAGUGGACAAGAGGAUGCAUGAACAAUUUGCUAGUUUCAUGAUCAGAAUGCAACAACAGGGACAAGGCACAUAAACAAUGGUAUCGUUCAAGGAUGGUGUCGACCAAGGAGCAAUUACAAGGCACUUAAUAUUUUGUCUUUUUGGGAUAUGUAUAUGCGUACAAUUACAAUGUACAAUAAAGUGUCGUGUAGUAUUAUGUAAUUGACUUUUUAGUGAUGAAAAUAUUUAUAAUAUUUAGUUUGAGAAUUU